AACGAACGCUGGCGGCAUGCCUAACACAUGCAAGUCGAACGAGACCUUCGGGUCUAGUGGCGCACGGGUGCGUAACGCGUGGGAACCUGCCCUUAGGUUCGGAAUAACUCCCCGAAAGGGGUGCUAAUACCGGAUAAUGUCUUCGGACCAAAGAUUUAUCGCCUUUGGAUGGGCCCGCGUUGGAUUAGCUAGUUGGUAGGGUAAAAGCCUACCAAGGCGACGAUCCAUAGCUGGUCUGAGAGGAGGAUCAGCCACACUGGGACUGAGACACGGCCCAGACUCCUACGGGAGGCAGCAGUGGGGAAUAUUGGACAAUGGGCGAAAGCCUGAUCCAGCAAUGCCGCGUGAGUGAUGAAGGCCUUAGGGUUGUAAAGCUCUUUUACCCGGGAUGAUAAUGACGGUACCGGGAGAAGAAGCACCGGCUAACUCCGUG
rnacentral:rRNA from 1 species